rnacentral:rRNA from 1 species
GCGGUAUUUUGACCGUGCUAAGGUAGCAUAAUCAUUAGUCUCUUAAUUAGGGAAUAGUAUGAAUGGCUAAAUCUUUGGUUUCUUUAUUCUUUAAAAGAGGUUGAAAUUUAAUUUUAAGUGAAAAUGCUUAAAUUGGGUAAUUAGACGAUAAGACCCUUUAGAGUUUUAUUUUA